CUUCUCCUAACGCCGAUUUUACACGUGUCAAAAUCUGGCGUCAACACAUGCCCCCCAGUUUCGGAGUAAAACAUAGUCUUUACUUCGAAAUUCUUUUCAACUUCCCAUCCGAAACAGACGCCACGAAAACAUCCUUCCGUUUCGCGGUCUCCAACCUGAUGAUUGCAAUCUUUUCGAAACGGGCGCCCACGACAACCACUACUCCCGAAAAACUCGAAACGCCG
rnacentral:lncRNA from 1 species